rnacentral:rRNA from 1 species
UACGGGGGGGGCAAGCGUUGUUCGGAAUUAUUGGGCGUAAAGAGCUCGUAGGCGGUUUGUCGCGUCUGCCGUGAAAGUCCGGGGCUCAACUCCGGAUCUGCGGUGGGUACGGGCAGACUAGAGUGAUGUAGGGGAGACUGGAAUUCCUGGUGUAGCGGUGAAAUGCGCAGAUAUCAGGAGGAACACCGAUGGCGAAGGCGGGUCUCUGGGCCGAUACUGACGCUGAGGAGCGAAAGCGUGGGGAGCGAACAGG